CACGGAUUACUGAUCUAAUGCUGGAUAAAAAGCUUGUCAAUUGCUGUACUAAUCGACGACACAGAGUUUGUGUCUAUCAUUUAUUUAAAGGUAAGUUUGAUGUCUAAGAUUAAAUGUAACGUUAAGUGGUUUAAUGAGUCCAAAGGAUUCGGUUUCUUACUCCUGAAGAUGGCAGCAAAGACGUGUUCGUACACUUCUCCGCCAUCCAGAGCAACGGUUUCAAAACCCUGACUGAAGGUCAGCGCGUAGAGUUUGAAAUCACUAAUGGCGCCAAAGGCCCUUCGGUUGCUGACGUUACUGCUAUUUAAUUAGCCAGUUUUCUGAAAAACCCGCCCUGAGGCGGUUUUUUGCCU
rnacentral:other from 1 species